GUCACGGCUUCGUGCAACGGACCACAAUAAGGCCCAAUUUCGGUCCUGCACUCGCCCCUAUAGACUGCAAGAUGUAGAGCUUACGACCCGGUCCGGAAGAGCUUCGGAUUCCUCAGCCCCCAGCCCCCCGGGGUUCAACGGAUCGGGUCAAUUCUACCGCGUACGGUUCAAUCCCCAAUUGCUUCAAGGCCGGCUUCCGCCGGCCUUUUU
rnacentral:sRNA from 1 species